rnacentral:ncRNA from 2 species
ACUAUAUGCGGCAGUCACGGUCCGCCGCAUCGCAAGAUGUGGUGGCUAAGAGGGAACCCGGUGAGCCGCAGGGCAAGGCCGGGGCUGCCCCCGCAACUGUAAGCGGCGAGCCAUCCGUCCAUUCCGCGUCACUGGGGCAUUCGCUCCGGGAAGGCCGGACGGAAGGCGACGACCCGCGAGCCAGGAGACCUGCCGCGACUUGGUAGAACCU